GGACGCCAUUUUGAGAACCUUCUGGAUAGAAGCUAACUUAAUUUCAGUUCCACUGAGCUCGUUUGAGUGUCGAACUGGAAGAGUUCACUAGAGGACGCCGCGGCGGAAAUGUAGAUCAGUCCGUGACCUCUGACCGCCGGAAGUAAACAAAACCAUUCAACUAUGUCAGUAGCCGGUUCAAGUGGUGCUGGUACUAAAGCUGAGGCGAACUAUAACGAAGCCUCGGCUAUCGAGACAGCAGUCCGGACGGCGGUCAUGUCCAUCCUGAAGAUUUUCUGCGACGUAAACGAGAAGAAGUCGCACUGCUAUGAGGCGAAGUUAGCCGAGGCGGAAAGAGAAAACGCGGCGCUCAGGUUUCAGUUAAAAGCCGCCGAGCAGGAGCUUCAAACCUUACGACAGAUCUCUUCUAAUUACAAAAUCUCAGCGGAGGUGACUUUCAGUACUGAUGUCGAAGAAAGAGUUCAGGAACCGGCGUCUUUCCAAAAUGUCUCAUCAGAGAGCGACCGUGUCCUGGUGCUAAAGGAAGAGGAAGAGCCUUUCUACGAGAGCCAGUUGUUUAUAAAGAGUGAAAUGACAGAGGAAUAUUCUGCAGUGAACUUUGAAAACGCGCAAAUCCAGACAUACGGGACAAACAACAACAACAACGACGACGACGACAACAAUCAUCACUCAGUUAAUCAAGAUCCAGUUUUCACCGGAUUUGAGAGAAGGAGACUGACACGGUAUGAGAAUGUGAGGCGGUACAGAGAAAGGAUUCGGGCUGAUCCUGCGAAAUACCUGGCCUGGAAAGAGAAGAACCACUUGAGGUAUCUGCAAAACAGAAAGACCAUUAAUGAACUACCUGAACCCAUGAAAAAGCUGCAGAGGAAGGCUUGGAGAGAGGCGACAAGGCGACACCGUGCAAAAAAGAUGGCUCAAGCUGCUCUUUCUGCUACAUCCAUGUCACAAACACAAACCGUAUGACCAGGACAUAUUUCUUCCCUUUAGACUCUGUGCUCUCUGGGCAAAAAGUGCCCCUUUUGUAUAUGUAUAUACUGUAUAAAUAAAUUAAUAAUUGGGUAAUUGAGUUGAAUGAAAAUGUUUUCUUGGUUUCUUGUUGGUCCAGUUAACAUAGUUAUCGUUUAGAAAUUAAAUGACAAAUAAAAUAACAUGUC
ensembl:lncRNA